GUCCCAGUCUUCAGUCCCCGCCUUUACCGCCCACCUUCAUUGCAAGAAUCUUAAAAAUAGUAGGUCUAUCUUGUUGUUGUCUGUAAAAAUAAAAUGAAAAAGUUAUUUUAUUGCCAUCUCUCAAUUGCCAUGUCGUCUGUAUCGGUUUGCUGUUGCAAUAAAUAGUUGUAUUAGAUACAUUUAUCCGUGUAUGACAAGCAGUAUUAUUGUAACCUGUGUGACAUUUAGGUGUUCAUUGUUAAUAUAUGGAAUGUGUGUAUGUAUUUGUACGCACACUGCAUGUCGUAGUAUGGCCUAGCACAUUGUCUUAGAAAAUACAUAUAAUAUUUAAAACUAUUUUCAUUUCAUAUAACGGGACACCUCACCUAACAAGCAAAAUUCCCGGAGAUAGAGGAACCUCAGCUAUGAAGAGUUGGCGGCCAACAUUACAGAGUCAAGUCAGUUUGUUGGACAAAGCAUCUUGUUCUACUUCGCUACAAACCUUAUAUUAUAAAUCGAGACUCAUCAGACC
ensembl:lncRNA